GGAUGGGUGAGUAACACGUGGGGAACCUGCCCCUAAGUCUGGGAUACCAUUUGGAAACAGGUGCUAAUACCGGAUAAUAAAGCAGAUCGCAUGAUCAGCUUUUGAAAGGCGGCGUAAGCUGUCGCUAAGGGAUGGCCCCGCGGUGCAUUAGCUAGUUGGUAAGGUAACGGCUUACCAAGGCGACGAUGCAUAGCCGAGUUGAGAGACUGAUCGGCCACAUUGGGACUGAGACACGGCCCAAACUCCUACGGGAGGCAGCAGUAGGGAAUCUUCCACAAUGGACGCAAGUCUGAUGGAGCAACGCCGCGUGAGUGAAGAAGGUUUUCGGAUCGUAAAGCUCUGUUGUUGGUGAAGAAGGAUAGAGGUAGUAACUGGCCUUUAUUUGACGGUAAUCAACCAGAAAGUCACGGCUAACUACGUGCCAGCAGCCGCGGUAAUACGUAGGUGGCAAGCGUUGUCCGGAUUUAUUGGGCGUAAAGCGAGCGCAGGCGGAAAAAUAAGUCUAAUGUGAAAGCCCUCGGCUUAACCGAGGAACUGCAUCCGGAAACUGUUUUUCUUGAGUGCAGAAGAGGAGAGUGGAACUCCAUGUGUAGCGGUGGAAUGCGUAGAUAUAUGGAAAGAACACCCAGUGGGCGAAAGGCGGCUCUCUUGGUCUGCAACUUGACGCUGAGGCUUCGAAAGCAUGGGUAGCGAACAGG
rnacentral:rRNA from 1 species